UUUAUUUAGUGCCAAUAGGAUUUCAGUAGUAAAUGAGGCCCUUAUAAUUAAGUAAAACAGAACAUAACGUGUACAGAAUAAAAAAUCAACUAGUAAAUUAGACAAUAUAUUUGAAAACCACAAGGAACCUAUAGAAAGAGUUUCACACUACCAAAAUAUUAUCCUUUAUUCAAAUUCAUUCACAGAGGUCUAUUAUAUGCGAAACUAGGCAAAGGAAACUAACACCAUUAAGAGGUUAUUUUCCAUGAACAAUGCUGAGAGACAGCUUAAGACAAAUAGAAAACAAAAUGAUUGAAUUCCUGUUCCAUCCUUCACUGAAAUUCAUUCUAGGUGGACUGAAGACAUAUGGAAUGCAAAACUGUGGUGUUUUAAGAAGACAGUAUAGGAGAAUACAUUUAUGAUUUCAGGUUAGAGGAGGAGUUCUCUUUUUUUUUUUUUUUUUUUUUAGUAUUUAUUGAUCAUUCUUGGGUGUUUCUCAAAGAGGGGGAUGUGGCAGGGUCAUAGGAUAAUAGUGGAGAGAAGGUCAGCAGAUAAACACGUGAACAAAGGUCUCUGGUUUUCCUAGGCAGAGGUUCCUGCGGCCUUCCGCAGUAUUUGUGUCCCUGGGUACGUGAGAUUAGGGAGUGGAGAUGACUCUUAAUGAGCAUGCUGCCUUCAAGCAUCUGUUUAACAAAGCACAUCUUGCACCACCCUUAAUCCAUUUAACCCUGAGUUGACACAGCACAUGUUUCAGAGAGCACGGGGUUGGGGGUAAGGUUAUAGAUUAACAGCAUCCCAAGGCAGAAGAAUUUUUCUUAGUACAGAACAAAAUGGUGUCUCCUAUGUCUCCUUCUUUCUACACAGACACAGUAACCAUCUGAUCUGUCUUUCUUUUCCCCACAUUUCCCCCUUUUCUUUUCAACAAAACCGCCAUCGUCAUCAUGGCCUGUUCUCGAUGGUCACUGUCUCUUCGGAGCUAUUGGGUACACUUCCCAGAUGGGGUGGCCGGGCAGAGGCACUCCUCACUUCCCAGACGGGGCAGCCGGGCAGAGGUGCUCCUCACCUCCCAGACGGGGCGGCCGGGCAGAG
rnacentral:lncRNA from 10 species